rnacentral:rRNA from 1 species
CAAUAGCGUAUAUUAAAGUUGUUGCGGUAAAAAAGCUCGUAGUUGGAUUUCUGUUGAGAGCGAUCGGUCCAUACCAUGUAUGCGUAUCUGGCUUGCUCUCGGCAUCCUCUCGAUAGACGUUACUGCGCUUGAUUGCGUGGUGCGGAUCUCGGGACUUUUACUUUGAGGAAAUUAGAGUGUUCACGGCAGGCUUUCGCCAGAAUACAUUAGCAUGGAAUAAUACUAUAGGAUCUUGGUUCUAUUUUGUUGGUUUCUAGAAUUGAGAUAAUGAUUAAUAGGGACAAUUGGGGGCAUUCGUAUCAACACGUCAGAGGUGGAAUUCUUGGAUUGUGUUGCGACGAACUACUGCGAAAGCAUUUGCCAAGGAUGUUUUCAUUGA